GGCUCUCCGAAACUGGACUUGUCCCCUCCGCUCCCUUGGCGCUGCUUGCAAUAGUCACAGGAACGUUUCGGUGCUUUGCAACAACAGGCCGCGCGCUGCCCCCCGAACCCCGACCGUGCCAUCCCGUGAAACACACCCCACGCAGGUUUCUCUUGACACGCCAGAAGUGUUCCUGGCGGGCGCGUGUGCAUGUACAUGUUGAAGUUAUGGGCUCCUGGGUAUAACCUGAAGCCAGGCCUCGAUGCUUUAUGAAAAUCCUAGUGCUAAAGGGAGAGUCGGAUAAAACCGAGCACUAAGAGCCGGUCGGGAACUUUCCUGGAAACCAAAUUUCAAGGGAGAUUUAUUUUUUUUUUUUUAAUUCUUGCAAGCUUCCCCUGCCCCACCCACUUUCUGUCUGCUGGACGCGUAAAAGUAUGUGGAAAAUAAGGAGUGAACGCAAAAAUGCCAAACAUUGUCCUUUUGAUACUGGAUGCAGUUAAAGAACAUUCUGUAUCUGGCCACGUGUUGCUCCUCCCUAUGGAUUAUUAGGCUUAAACUAAAUUAACUUGUAACGAAAUGGCAGCGAUCUGAGUCGAAUCCACUGCCCUGAAAUGAGGGGGAUCUACGGCAGUUCGACCAUGUUGUAAAAUAAUUUUUUUUUUUUUUAAUUGCAGUGGGCAUAUGGGGCCAUCCCCUCCCAUCGGGUUUUCUGCACAGCUUUCCUUUGAUUCAGGGGGGAAUUCAACUUGAAAAACUUCUGCUACGGUGUAGCUCAAGGGGGAAAUGCUGAGCAUCUUUUUUUGGGUUCUGGAUAACUCCUUUCUGAAUCCUGUCCUACCUUCAUACAGGUUUUUAGAAGUCACUUUUAUUAUUUCUGUUUUCAAAACUAUAGUUGUGCAUUGGGGUUCUUCAUUUUUAUCUCUCUGCGCUCCGUUUCAUGGGGCUAGUGGACGUUGUACUUCAAUCAGGACGUUUUCUUUAUUAUAAAAUUUAUAACAUUUCAGAGCUUGCUAGGCUUUUGCCAGGUUACCAAUACCUGAACUAUUUUCUGCCAGCUUCCUAUUUAUUUAUUUUACCUUCUUUCUUUUAAGUGGCUUAUCGUGUUAAAAAAAAUGACUCGUGCUUUUGGGUGCUUGCUUCUUCGGGACUACUUCGAGUCCCGAUUUUUAAAACAAGGGCUCAGCACUUUUGAAAACUGGGCCCCUUUAAGUGCAUCUGUUUGAGGUUCCACAAUUCCUUAAUCACUUUUAGAAAACUUUUUUUUUCCCCUUUUUUUUAUCAUGUCACUCAUCAAGGUGAAAGGACAGAUUAUUUUUUAGCACAAUCCAUCUGUUUGGCUUAUGUGGGUGCAGUUGUUUAGAGCCAAGAGCAUUCAAGUGACAGACGAGCUGAUAUUAGAAUGCACUUUUUUCCCCAUUAGUCUUCAUUACUCCUGUGUCUGUUUAGACUGCAGCAGCGCACACACUGUGCGAACCACUUUCCAAGCGUGCUCCCGGCCCCAAAGAGCAUGCAGUUUCAUACAUUCAUUUUUCAGUGUCAUUAAACGGUUCGAUUUAAACAUUUUGGCUUGAUUAAGAUUCAGGCUCGAGUCAACGGUUCCCUCGACUCCUAGAUGACUUUGACAAAUGACAAUGUAGAAACAAUUGCUUCUUUUAGUAGAACGUAGUGCAAAUACUAGACCCAGCGCAGUAAAUAAGAUUUUUUUUUAAUUUUUUUUUUAAAGAUGUUUCGAGCUUUUGCUGCAAGUUGUUGGCAGUUUUCUUAACUGGUGAUUUGCUGUUGAUCUCUAUUUCAUAACGUCCUUCGAUCUCUGGGUCACAGGCUCCGUGAUAUUUUUCUUUUUUUUUCCCCCCCCACCCCCGCUCUCUCUCAAUCUGCUAAUAAUGGGGCUUUGUUUUAUUUUCACUUCUAAACUUUGUGCCUCUUUUGCUAAUCUUUCUCAGCGUACAAAUAAGCUUUCUUCGGCAGUCAGAGUUGACAAGGUUUACUUCACAAUAACCUAGUUCUGGGCAAAGCUGCAAGGCCUUCUCCCCAUUUAUCAGGGCCUUAGCUGUGAAGUUUAUUGCACUGCAAGGGUGACAUUUUCAGCCUUCUGAAAGAGUUGGUAAAUAUUUGGCUGGUCCUACGCCUCCAGCACAAAAAAGGCUGUAUUUUAUCUGUGAUAAGGCCUGAAAGAAAAGUAUCUGAGCACUAAGGGCUUGAUUCAUUGAGCAAGAAGGGUGGGGUCCAGGCAGGAUAUUCACUCCUUGAAUGGCAGAGCAGAAGUAAAAUGUUUGUUUGCAGAAAGUUUGUUUAAAAACUACUGUUGCUCCAUGUUUGCAAGUAGAGGCCUUCAGGCUCGGGGCCCUGGCAAGCUGCUGGUGGGAUGAGUUGCAGGCGGGGGGGGGAUAUACUCUGAAUUUAUGAAUUCAUGCAGCGGAAGGGGUGUGAGAUCUGGCUUGUGCUCUGGCUCUUUUUGCUCUGCUGUUCGGUACAGGAGAGGGGCCAGACUUUCCUGAGAGCUUGGGGUCCCACGUCCCUGGGAGCCAGCCCCGUUCGGGACGGCUAGCACCCACCGUGCAUCCCCUGCCCCCCCACCCCGUGCGUCUCGUGGCACGCGCAGAGCACGUGCUAUGUGAGCUCUGUCUGCUGGGCCGCUCUUAAAGGAACGCAGCGGCAGGCCACACAGGGAAUGGCCGAACUUCCCUGAAAAACGAGGCGGGUCGGGGGGAUGCAACCGCUUUGCAGUGGUUCCUGGUGACUGCCCGGCGCCCCAGCCCCGGGGGUCUCUUGCAGAGGGAUGAGAGCUGGGGCAGAUGAGCAUGCGGCAUGCUGCUGCCUCGGUCAGUCAUGGGAGAUUAUGCUGCCACUGUCACUGUUACCCGAGCGCCUUCCCUCUAAAUCCGGGAGCGAGAGCGGGGUCUGUGUAGGCUCUGUUUCAGGUGAAUAACCCGUUUAGCCCAGGGGGGUUGUUGGCUGCUUGUUUUUUUUAAUUUGCUUCUUAUUGCUCGGAGAAUGCAGCAAAGGGUGGUGUCUAACUACGAGCAGGAGGAUUCCCGGGCAGUGUUUGCAUGGCCACAACGGCUGCUCUUCCAGGGCCCAGCAGAGAUUCCCAGGCUUGGCGGACUGGGGGGGCCACAGAUUAUAACAGCAGAACUGGGGGGGGGGUGUCCUCCACCGCAGUGCCCCGGGGACCACUGCUCCUCGCCUUCAGGCUUCUUCCAGGAUGGUGGGGGGCUCCUGAAGACGGUUGCGGGGGACGAUCACGUCCCACUGUCCAUAGCAUCACUCCUGGCACGGUCCCAAUUAUACCUAGCGCAGCAGUAGCCAGUCUUGCAUCUGGGAUGUGCUCAGCAGUGUCUCUUAUGGGGAGCCGUGUUCUUGUAUGCAGUUUUAUAAAGCCUCCUGUAUGACCACGGCUUCUGGGUCAGCUACAGAUAAUUAAAACGCAGAGAUGACAGUAGUGGCUGUGUUGUUGUUGGUCAUGGGGGGGAAAAAGCAAACCCCGCAAUGAGGUAUUUCUGGUCCCUCUUGGGGAAUGGAGGGUAGGGUCCAACCUGUGUGGACUGGGGUGAUGCUGCUGACCUCCCGUGGAAGGGGUUUCGAGAGCUAGCAAUGAGAAGUGCUGCAUGGGCUUGACCCCGUUUCCAUUUCGCUCGGUGGAAAAAUGUCCCUUAAUUAACACAACGCCAGAUCAAACCCCACAAAAGCAAGCUGCCGUUGUCUCUGCAACUGCAUUCCCAAUUGUCUCAGCUUUGGGUAUGGAAUUUCCUCGAACGAAGCCUUCAGAAACACUGCUUUGCUCCAUCGCUGAAGAGCACAAUUUAAAACAUGGUUACAUUUUAAUUUGAUCGGCUGCUUAUCAGACGUUUUCACCAAGUAUCUAGAAAGCAAACGAAAGCGAUGCUUAAGCCCAGGGUUUUGUCUGUGGGGAGGGGGAAAAAAAACUUUAGCCAGCUCUGUGCAGCCCAAGCUUUUGAAUUCUGCACUAUUCACAGGGUUAAACUCAAAUAUGCAAGUGCAAUAGUUUAAGGAAUAAAUUCCAGAAGCUGUUUAACUCUUGGUUUCAUUGCAGAGCAGUGAUCAGGUUGAGUUAAGCAGAAUUGCUGUAUGCGAAACCAUCUGGAAUAAUAUCAUAUUUCCACAAAAAGGAAUUUUCUUUAGAAAGAGCAACGAUGUGCUGAUAUUUGAGAGGAUGGAGCUAAUAGCAACCUACAAAUUCUGGAGAACCAAUUAAGAAUUUAUUGCAUAAAAUACUGGGACCUUGUUGGGAAUCUUGAUUUGAUUUUAUUUUUAUGGUAACAGACUUAAAAAAAAAAAAAUCCAAGCCCCCACCCCCCAAAAAAGAAACAGAUCUUGAACUUGAACUUUCUCAAGUGCAGGGAUCGAUGGGAGAUCUUGGUGUCGAGUCGCAAUACAUAGUUUUGGACUUUAUUCCAAUUAACCAAGUUGUAGGAAAUGUAUUUGGAGCUUUUCUGGCUAGGUGAUAGUAAAAAACCUCUGGGGGGAAAAGUGGCGUUUGUUUAUUGCGAAACAAUAAUUUGAGCGUAGAGCAGUGUGAAUGUGUUUGAUUUAAAAACCCUUUGAAACGAUUUUGAUGUUUCCUGGGAGAAAUCAUUUCCUUUCUCCCACUUGAGAAUCUCUCUUUUACAAUUAAAGAGGUAACGUUAAAGCAGUUUAAAAUCUAAGCGAGGCUUAAAUAUUUAUUUUUUUUUUAUUGCAAAGUCAAUUAGGAAUAUAAAUGUGUAAGGUACAAAUGUGGUGAUUAAUUUCGAGGAAAUUAGUGUUGGGAGAAGGGGGGGAAAAGAUUUGAAUGCAAAUGCAGCAGCUGUGCACUACAGAACGACCUGCAGAGGUAAUUUAAACAAAAAUGAAUGUGUCCACUUCAGGUUUAUUGUGCAAGGUAAAGAAAAGGAAACAAAUAACACGACUAGUGAAAAAGCAUUUUUAGAUAUUUAAAUGUUCUGCCUUAAUGUCGUUGUGGGCUAUUCAGUAAGAGUUAAUGGCUCUUUUAUAAACACUUUUUCCUUUUGGCAGUGUCCAUUUGAAAUGACUCUGUCCUAUAGGCCAGAAAAACAAUUUGAAAAUAUUACAUUUUAUAAAAUAACUUGUACCUUUUUAAAUAACCAACCUCUGAGUAAGUGCACAGAGUAAUUCAUUUAGGGUAUAUUUUCACCCACGUUUCCCAAACCGUAGUUAAUAAAGAGCUUUAAGAACUUCACCCCGCAUAGCUACCUCCAGUGUUACAACAGAGCAGCUUCACCGCAUCGUUUUAUAAUGUUUGCCUGUUGCAGUUCGAAGUGGUAAACUGAGAUUAGAAUUGCGUUACUCAAAGCCCCAGACUAAAUUUAGCUCUCGGACACACAAACUGCAUUGCUUCAGUGCCGUUAGAAGAGUUUGGUUCACACGUAGCAUAGCUGAGCUCGUUCAGCAUCUCCUUGGGGAACAAAUUAGAGCCUGAAUGAGGACAUUCACGCACAUUGAUGACAUUAAUGCUGUAUGUAUUUGGAGGCUCUGCAUACAUCCAGCCUGUAAAAUGUACGCCAUCUCUUCCCUCUUCCAAGGGCUUUUAUUUCAUUUCUUUAUCAAGAACCAUUAAGGGCGAUUUGGACACAGUGAAACCGGGCUGCUUUGACACCAGUUCUCCGCCGAGACCUUUGCAAAGGUAGCACUAAGCUGCUCUUUCUGCAGAGCUCUCUGGAGUGACUCUCUUCCUGCAGUGCUCACCCGAUCCACGGCCUUGUUUCAUACGCCUUUAUUUUUAAAAAAUGGAGGAGUCAGGAAUAUGCUGGCUCACCAAUAUGCAGCAUUAUGUAAUACGGCUUAUCUGGGGUUUGGCACGUGGGCCUUUUUUUGAACUUUGGGAUAAUGUUACCCUCCCUCCCGCUUCCCCCCCAACCCCACCCCGUUUUUUUUAACUGUAGCUUUAUCACAAAACAUCUGGUUGGGAGUUCGGUCUUGAAAGAUCACUUUGGAUUUUAUUUCUUUGCAUCGUAUUGUCUACAAUCCAGACUGGGAUUGCAGCUCUCUAGGGAAUGACCCCGUGCUGGCAGGCACUUGUGACUUGUGAUGUGAAGUUUCUCCACUGAGCGUUUGCUGACCUUCACCAGCUGGGGAUCUGACCCGCUGUGCACCGUUUUAGGGAACAGUAAUAGUCUCUGAAAAUCCGCCCCAAAGCCUUUUUAACCUGUCCAUAAUGAAUAUUCCGUUGUAAAGUUUUGGUAGCUCUGGGUUAGCUGUCCGAGGCUGUACUAUAUAUAACCAGCGCUCUGUUCUUUCAUUGUGAAACACGUUUUCCAAAAAUAAAUAUUUUCUAACUAGUUCCUAGCGCUCCCUUUUAACGCCCAGUCCUGAUCAUCUGGGUUGGAAUGGUAAAGAUGGCUUUUUUUUUUUUUUUUUUUUUAAUAAUUAGGCUUUAGCAACAUGUGCCGGGCUGCAUCUGAAGCUGCUGUAAAUGGGCAGAAAUGUUGCUGCUAAUUAAACAGAUGUGUGUUGAUUGUACGCCAGCUGAGGUUCUGACCCAGCUGUCCACGGCCCCGUCUCGUGGCUCUUUCGGGCGUCACGGUUCCUUUCUGCAUUAGGUUAAACAUGGUCCGUCAUUCUGACGUACCGUCCAAGUACAAACUCCCACCACUUGGACUUCAGUGGAGCUCUGCUGAUUUACUCCAGCUGAGGGCAUGGCCCAGUGCGAGGGGCGUCGUAUGCUGUGCCGUCUGCAGCUUCCACGUUCCCGGCACCGCAGCAGACCUGCCGGCGUCACCGAAAAUGGAUGGGAAUAAAAGUGAAACGUUGCAAACCGAUUCUGUUGGAUGAGCUUGAGGAACGUGCAGAAAGGGAAUCGGGCAGCACAGGCUGGCAGGUUGGGCACCUCGGCCUCCUGCUCCUGUUAAUCACUGGAGGAGAAAGGACCACGGGCUCUGGCCUCUGGAUCGGGUUUUUGGUCCCAACAAAGGGUAUCAUUGACUUCAGCAACAGCUGCAGGAGGACCAGAGUAGAUCUGCUGGUUCUGCUGUGCCUUUACUGAACUCAAAACUCCUCUCAAGCCUAGAGGGAGCUGGAUCAGGCCCUGGUUUGCUAACUAACACUCGUUGAAAGGUAUCAAAGGCUUUUAUUUUUAUUUUUUUCAGGCCUGAUAAGUUCCUGGAGAAAAGUAAAUGCACACACUGACACCAGAAAAAAUGAAGAAUUUCAUAGGUGCCAUAGAAAGCGCUCUUUUGCUGUCUGAGGCUUUUGACUUGGGUUUCGAAGCCACCUAGGUACCUGGACAUGCUGCCUUGCAGUUGCACACACACCCUGGAGGAACUUUAUGUACCUUUUGCUUAACUCUUACGUAAAACUGGACUCCCUUUUGCAUACCGCUUUUUCAUAUUUUUAAAGUUACGUAUGUAGGAAACAGCUUGUCACCGAUUGUCUCGCUGUCUGAUCGCUGAAUGGAGAUCGCAGGCAACAUGGCAUAUAUGUUACUCGCGCGUUGGCUUUACAAAAUGUUUCCAUGAUUCUUCUGCCAUCUGUCGAAAAGGAAGAGUUCAUAAAGUCCCUAUUGCCUUUACUUUAAGGAUCGAAGGUCCCUGGUAGUAGUAAAGCCAAAUGUUCAACGAUAAAUUUUACGGUGUCUGCAUCAGUCUGGUUUUAUUUAAUGGCAUUUAACAACGAGGGUUGAGACGGGCCGUUUCUGUAACUUUUAGAGGUCUGUUUCUGGAUCCUGAAUUGGACCCCAAAAUACAGCAUUGAGAAUAGGGCUAGAAAUCCAGUACCUGUCCAAGGGGCUGACAAAGUCAGCAGGGUGAGACCGAAAGGAAGAAAAGAUCCACAUCCCCCCAAAUGUCCAAGCUGUGUAAUGCCAUUCAAGCAGCAGUCGAGCCAAGCAGAUAUAUGGUCUAAUCAUGCACAUUUUAACAAAAUUGUCUUUAGUUAGAGAAUCAAUAAAAACUUGUAACAGGGCAACGAGGUCUUAACUAGAAGUUGGCCCAAUUAAAAAAAAAAUAAGAAGUUCAUCAGAUUAGUAGUAUGACAGGAGAAAGAAUAUCGUUGUUCUGUGACUCCUCUCCAGAUAUGCAGCAUUUCUUUCUUGCUUUCCCUGGUGAAUAAAUCUGCUCUUUCAUGAAUCUGACAAUACAUAACGUGAUUGGAUCAGUUAAAAAAGUCAUAGCCACAAUUUAUCAAUUAUUGUAUCUCUUCUCUUUCCUUAGAGUGACUUCUGUUGGGAGGACGCUUCCUGCAGAACGGACACAAUCCUCUUCUCUAAUCCCGCUAAUCAGAUUCCUUGCCCUCCGGGUUGUCCAUUGAAAAUUGAUUUGCGCACGCUGUGCACUAAUUGAAAUCGCCUGGGCCGCCAGUGUUCAGGGGGGUUGAUUGGAGGCAGGAGAAGCGUUUUCCUUCCCCGCUUCUGGCUCGGUCCAGCCGGCACUCUGGAGGGGUCGUGAGGCUUUCUUAUUGAGCCGGCACUUUGUUGUUUCGUCCCACUCCUCUGUUUUAAGAAGCAGAGCUUUUUGUGGACUCCCUUAGUUGAAUUUCCUCCCCCUCCGGUCCCCCCGCACCCCCGGCCCUGGGAAGUGGAUAAGAUUUGCUGCUUUUUUCCCUCUCUCUCUCUCUCCUGCACUUUAUUUUAAGCUGGGAAUAACUAUGUGCUGGGGAGGCGGACGUGUACAGCCAGAAAAAAUACUCGCUACAUCCUGUAAUAUUUUGAGUAAUGAAAUGUGAAUUCACACGAACGCGAGAUGGAUGUGGGAUUUAUUGACUGCAGAGUCUCCACUUCUAAUAUUUACGAUGCGUUUAUUCUGUUCGAUUGAUAACGUUUCCUGGCUUCUUCUGAGGCUCUCGACUAGCUACCCAACCACAAGCAAACCGAUCCCCAUAAGCCCCUACGAAAGAAGUAGGUGUUAUUAUCAUCUCCUCCGUGGCGGAGGUAUGCUUUGUACAGCGUACAGAGCCCAUCGGCAGCAGAGGUGGAAGUCCUGAAUCCUGGUCUUCUGCUGUCUUCGGCACUCGGCCCCUUCCUAUCAUGCAUCGGUCUUUUGAGGGGCUUGCAUGAUGAUUUAUUUUUACAUGACGUGGGAAUAGAAUCACCUUCUUUUUCUCCGUGCAAGGGGUAUGCAAGGCAGACUGUCCUGGCCAAGAAGGAGCACCAGAGGCUGGUGCUCGGUACAGAGCCUGGAGCCAGAGGUGCUGAGCAAGAGGUGCCAGGUGUGUUUGCUUUGGCUCGUUGCAGAGAGGAGGAUGUGGGAAUGCUGCGUUUUCACACGCGGCUGAAGGAUUUAGGAACCCAAGUCGACUUCACGUUAGAAGGGCCUUUUCCCUUGUGCAUUGCCAAAAUGGAGUCUCUGCGGUAGGAAAGGCUUGUUUGAAGCGUGACAUCUCGCCUUUCAAGUAACUGAGACCCCACAGGUGUAGAGCAGCGUUGCUUCCUCGGACAUGUUUUUCAACCUUUUAUUUGCAGUUCCUCGCCGCAGCCCCACGAAGACUUGAGGGCAUGCUUAACCUUUUAUGCAUAGUCUUGCUCUCCUCGCCCUGCCUGUUGUCUUGAAAAAAAUGUGUGCACGGUGGGGCGGGUGCUGGACUUGGCAAAAGUCCCGAGCUGAUUUCCAAACUCCAAAUGCCUUUGUGUGACUUAGUUUUUGCAGGGAUGGGCAAAAUACAGCCCACAGGCCAGAUCCGGUCUGCUAGGUGGCUGUAUCUAGCCUACAGCUGCUCCUGCGGCGCUCCGCAUGGGGCCAAACCCCCCCGCUCGCCCCGGGCCAGCCCUGGCCAAUGCACCCAGGGCCUGGUGGGGCUGUUCCUGGCCCACGACAGCUUAGCAGAGCUCCCCACGUGGCCCUCAGGCCCAAAUAAUUGCCCACUCCUGAUCUAGGCCCACUACUUUUAUUGCUGGAUGAUGUUAAUAAAUAAACUAACAUGACUCGCGGUUAGUACGUUUUGGCACCGUGCCAUCCAGAUAACCUAUGUUGGGAAAAAAAACAUUGCAAGAAAAGGGUCUACUUCAAAUGAGAAUUCAGGUUCCUGCCGAAUCUUUUGGGGAUGGUUUGGGGUGGCGGUUGUUGUUUUUUAAAUCGGGCUGCAGCAAUGGAAGGAGGUUGAAUAAACUGCUUCCACUUAUUGGGCCUCCAAAAAUUAGGGAAACGGGGAGCCUGACGGUUCUUGUUGGAUCCAAUUAGUUAGGUGCUCUGAUCUGGCAAAGCCGUAUGAGUACACUUAGCUUUUGCGCAUAAGACUCGUUGCAUCCUGAUUUGAUGAAUGAAUGCAGCGGGCGUUCAACUCGAAACACACGAGAACCGCCCUGCGUGCGUGCGGCAGCAUCUGGGACUUCUGAAAAUAUUGGUGUGCGGUAAACCGGUGAAUCAGUCGGUGAUUUUUCCUUGGGGUUCACAAAGGAACCUAAGGAAGGUCGUUUUUGUACGGUUGGUGCUAGUGGUGAGCCAACCUUGUACUGCCUGGGCUGCCAGUGCAGGGCCGUGCUCAUUUACACUCUUCAGACGUUCUUAGUUUAAUUAACUGUGGACUUGCAAUUAAUUUGCCGGACACUUUCUCUCUACUCAUUGCUUACCAUUUUUGCCCUCCUCAGCACUUCUGGCUGAUGGAAACCAAUGAAGUCAAACUGCUUCUUCAGGCAGAGGUUAAGCCCACAUUUAGAUGAAGCGAGUGCCCGCGCUUCGUGGUGAAUGGUGACUCGAAUGCUGCAAGUGGCAGACCGAUUUAAGAGCAGCCGUGUUAAUAGAGGAUUGUAAAGCAGACACUGGUGAUGGGAUCGCAGCCUGGCGAGCACAAGACGGCUGAUAAAUUCCCAGGCUGGUAUUUAUGAGAUUUUAUCGGGUAUCUUGAAAUCUAAAUUAAUUAAAUGAAGUACACAGCAAGGGAGCCUGUGUGCCAGGCUCUCUCUAGCUCUGUGCCAGCCUAUGCUAAAUUCACUUAUUUAGGGUGGACUCGCUUUGGCGGCUUCUGGGGUAUUUGGUUGCCCUCCCCCCAGAGUUUUCACCUGAUUUGCUGGCCAGGGAGCAACGCUGGCGCGGGCCUGAGGCUCUAUUUUCUAACCCAUGGCAAAGCCAGCGUCCCAACUGUGCAAACACUUCGUUGCAGUCCUGCACUACCCGUGUCCUGCCAUCCAUGGAGGGUGUAAUACAGCUGCCUCUGGAGGGGCUGCUCUAGGUUUGCUGCCAUGACUACUUGUUUUAUUUAAUAUAAUUCAUCUCAUUUUGGGACUGUAGCCUCCUUGCUCGGUCCUAUUGGCAGGUGAAUCCCCUGCGCAUACAUCCCAGUGAGGAGAGUUAGCUGAGCAUUCAAAGUUGCUAUUUAAAUUGCCGGCUUUUGCGUGGUUGGGUAGUGCGUGUGUGUCUUGUGUUUUUUUUCCUCGGCGGGCACAACGGAAAAUCGGUGUAGUCUGCUUGAUUAUCUAAACCUUAUAGGUUUCAGAGACACACUGUCAAGGUUAACUGGGCCCAGAUGUACCUCCCUUAAAAAUCACUUGGGCUCUCCACCUCUUUUGAUGAGGCUGGGGUGGUGGGGAGGUUUCCAAAUAGGAUGGCAGAGUCAGUUCAAAGCAGAUGGCUCUGCAUGCCCCGUAAGCACCAUGGGGAUCCCGGUUGUAAUCCAGUGGCACGUUAGCUGUGCCCGUCCUUCCCUUCUGCAGGCAGUCUCUGCUCCUGGCCACGUGCACGCUUUCAGGAGUUGUCUGAAGGGGAACCCAAGCGUCCGCUUGCACAAGAAACUCGGCCCCGUGCAGCCGAGUAGGAGGGCGCAGCUGGAGCGUCACAAAGCCCAGAGCAGGAGCGGCCUGUGGGCUGCGUGAGGAAAUAUGCAGUUUCCUGCAUCGCUCAGUAAUGUGCGUGUGGCUCUCCCUUUUGGGGGCGUCUUCAGACCGUGACCACGCUAAGUGGGUGGGUGUCUUUGGGCCCGGCCCCGUUUCCCUCUGCUCUCGGAAACGAGGGUUGCAGAAUCGGGUCCUGAGCUUCCUCCACGAGAGCAGAGGAGAGGUUUGCCGUGGUAUUUCGGUGCCCUGCUUGGAGGAUCGUUGCUCCAAGCAGUGAAAGGGUGGAGCACAACCAGCUUGUUCCUCCCAAUGGCUUUGCUCCUGGGGACGGCUGAGCAGAGAGGCACGGCAAGCUGCACGAGUUGUGUGCAUGCUGCCCCACCAACCAAACCACAAUGGAGAGGUCUAAUUUUAGUUCUCUCCUCAUCCCUGCCUGUCCGUCCCUUGAAGCAGUCGCUUUUCUGGAGUGGGGAGAAACUGCCAGAGCUUUAAGCUCAAAUCCUCUGUCCGCAUGCUGUCUUGCAGAUCUGGUGCCACGGCCCUUUGCUGUAGCAACGGCCUGAGGCACGGCCGGCAUGGAGCGGGUCACGGAGCCGUCUCCGUUUGCGAACGCACCAGGGCUACUUGCAUAUUCCUUUGGAGAGCUGUAAGAGGAAGAUUGGCCCAAUCUGAAUUUCAAGAACAAAUUGGAGACAAGGCUCUAUUCAUAAAGGAGAGCAUGUCCUUGCAGGGCCUAAAUGCCGUAGAUAACUGAUUUCUGGAUGCGUGCAUUGCCAGCAUCUCCAAAGAUGUUCCUACAGGCUGCGGCUGAGCAUCGGCUGUUUUCUUGCCGUUGUGUCCAUUGGCUCAUUCAAAUACUGCCGUGGUCAGCCUGAAGAAAUGGGAUGCAUUUGUAGAGUUGCUCAGAGCAUCCGCAUAUUAUCAAUGCCUCUAAAGCCAGCUCUCGCUCCAGUUUUAUCUCAGUCGAGUUCUUCCACACAUUAUCAGGAGUGGGAGUAAAGCUCUUUGGUGGGAGCGGGUUGGGGCCUACAGAAAGGGCCGUAUCUUAGGCUGGUGAAGCGGUGUUGGUCCACUGGCAAUGCCGCCUUACCCCGGUGGAGCGCCUGGCCCUUUGGUGGCUCACACGCUCCGUUCUCACUCACCGCCGUCAAAGGGAGUCAGACAAAAGUGCUACUUUAAAAAGGACGUGGCCUUGUAUCUGGGACUAAAAUCUCAUUUGGUUAAGGCCGGAAUAGUUGUCAACAAGGGGAGUCAGUGGUCACCCUGUGCCGUGUGCUGGGGGGUCUCUCCCCUCUGCCCCCUGUUUUGCAUGGUUCUGGGCUGAGGUCUGCCCCAUGCGGGAUCCCAGCCCGUGCCUCCGUGCCAUGCUGAAUGCAGGUGCCAGCGUUCGGGUGUUUAAAGCUCGGCGCGUGCUGGGAUCAGUCUUGCUCUCUGUCUUGUGGGCUCAGCACAGCGCUGCUGCCUGGGGUUGGCGGUGCUGGAGAGGGAUGCUUAAUCCUCAGCCUCCCACGCUGGACGUUCCCAGGGGCAGGGACCAUCCCUCAUCACUCCCUGGAAAGGGCUGAACACCGCAGAAGUAAACGUUAAACCGUGCCGGCCCCGCUCAAGUUGGGGACAGGUCCCCCUUCGACUCAAGUGGCUGCAGGAGUUUGCCAGCGAGGUCCCUGUGUCUUUUCCGUCCGUCUGUGCCUCGCGUGCGACACGUAGACUGCAGGCCUUCAGGGCAGAGACCUGCCUGCGUUCCUCACCACUGGGACCUUACCUUUGCCUGGGGUCCUAAGAGCGUCCUGGAUGAUGCUGGUUAACAAGGGCUUGCCCAUGUGAGUGCAGAGGAAAGGGCCCACAGGCACUUAUGGAAAUCACAGCUGUGACCUCCUCCUCUUUUAAUUUUGGUCCCAACACUUAGGUGACGCUUGUCCUCCCGGCCGGCUUGCUCCCGUUCCUCGCAAAACAAGGCUUCUGCUCCACGAGUCACGCUUCGCCUCUCACUGUGCCACGGGUUUAUUCUUCGUUUAGGGCCCCGGUGUUGUUAACCCGGAGACGCCUUUCUUUUUUUAAGCCGCUGCCAUCGUUUUCAAACGAUGCAAAAGACGUUUUGCUCGCAAUCCCGACAUGUUGCUAUUGCUAGGGCAGGGCAUGGGGCUUUGCUGGCAUUGGGCUUUCAGGCUCUGAUAGACGAUCUAAAUAAAAGAAGUUGUGUGUCUGUUAACGGUGAGGGCCCCGCGGACCUUUCUGUCCUCUCAUUGCCUGCUAAUGCAGGGUGCCAUCACUCGCUAGGGACUGUGGGAGAUAUUAGUUUAAUAUUAUACUUGACUGGGGUCUCUGUGUGCAUGCAACAGCCAGUCAUUUAUUUACCUGGCAUGCAAAGCAAGCACCCUGCUCUGCCAGCUGUAUCCCUGGGGACGGUGUUUGACCUGUAGCAGCCCAGCACUACAUGCUGUCCUGUACGGAGAAGGGCGCUGAGCGUGCCGUGCCAGCUGAGCCUGCUGCGUUUUGGAGACGACCGUUAACGCACCUGUUUGAAGCGGGCUCCAGUGCCGUGCCUCGAAACGGAGGAGAAGCGAAAAGCUGGUCUGCGUGAGGUCGGAGCGCUGCGGCUGUCACUCCUCCGGGACACCCUCACCCAGCUCCGUUUUUACGGAUCGUUUGAGCCGGCGAUUAUUCUUCCAACCUGUCACCAAAGUACGAACGGGGAAGGGUUUGCGUGGCAGGAAGCAUACACGCAUGUCGGGGGGGGCAUGUUUAAUUCGGCAGGAAGGAUGGUCUGACACGAGCUCAGAAUUUGGGAGGUGGGAGUUGGAGGCCUCUACUCUGCCACUGACUCCCUGUGCAACCCUAGGCAACUCCCUCAGCCCCUAUUUCCCAUGUGAAAAAGUGGGCUAUUGGGGCCUGCCUUCUGUGCAGGGAGGAUUGGAGGGGGAUAUGCGUGUGGGCGGGGGUGCUGGAGGACAGAUUUAAUGCAGAGGAGCAAGAAGAGGCAUUUGGGGGGUUAGAAAUCAGCUCAGGACUCCUGCCAAGUCCACCCCGUCUCCCCCCUCACGCGCACAUUUUUUUCAAGACAACGGGCAUGGGGAGAAGAGCAAGGUGUCCGUCUCACACAUGGGUCUAGGCUGGGAUUUUUAGGCCUUUGGGACCCCUCCCGCUCGGCUCAGGUGAAAAUCAUUUUGCCUGAAAGCUCUUUGGGGAAACAAUCUGCUGUUUUCGUUGUAUUUUGUGCAGCGCCCGGCAUGUGCCAGGAGCUCCUGCAAAGCUCAGUAACCAGCUUACGAUAAAACAUCUCAACCCAGUUGUUUCUGCCACUAAAUCAAAAGGUAACAGGGUGUAGGGAAGCCCUGUGCGACUCCCCACUGCUGACCCCGAGCGUUAGGACCAUCUGUUAGCGGACGGCAGUUUAUCUUCCAGUCGUAGCACAAAUGCUGCGGUAAUGUGUGCGGCACCGGCCUGCAGCCUAAGCCCUUCCUUCCAACCAGUACGGCGGUCCCUGUUUGUCCGACCCUUGGGAUCCUGCAUUCAUGCACACUUGUUUGAUUUUUUUUGCACCUCGUCGGGUAACUGAUGGUUGUCUAGGAGCUGCAAGGAAGGCUGGGUGGCGUUUCUGCCUAGUGAUGAAUGCCUGCGAGUUAUUGCACCAUAAUCCACAACCACGUCGUUGCAGCAUUUGGCUUGAGAGGAAAAGCCGAGGAUGACAAAGCACCUCUGGCUGGGCUGCGUCUGGGGCUGGUGGCGGGAAGCCUGCAGAAGCUUUCCCGUGUCAGUGUGACGCGCCGUGACAUGGCAAAGCACGGUACGGCUCUCAACUCUUUUCUUUGCAGGGGACUGAGUGGCAGCAAGAAAAAUGAGGGACUUUCAGGGGCAGCUGUGUUUUACUAACCCAGUCAUAAUGCCCCUAAAAAUCCUUAUUGUUCUUGCAAUGUUCAACUGUAACCUGCAGUGCCAGGAAGCCGGGGGGGUAAGUACCAGCUCUGUGCAACCGGAGGGCUUGUCGUUUUGGAGGGAUGUUUGCAAACCGGUAACUUGUUUGUAAAGGGCCGGGGCCGGGGCUUCUUUUUUUUUCUUUCUCCUGCAAAAGCAAAUCUGGAAAGGAGCAGCUGUCAUGAGGUGUCUGAUGGACAGUGUCUCCUUUAUGCUCCGAUCCCAAGCAACGCUAAUAGUGUACGGAGGAAACAAAACUGAAACUGAGCUAUUUUAUCCUCUCGGCUGAUUCACUGGAGUGAAAUGCCAAAAGCAAACAGACGGUGUAAAGGAGUAAGAAUGUAUUCACACCUACCCCCACGUACUCACACCCCCAUGCACACCCACGUACCCCCCCCCCCACCCCCACACACGCAUCCCCACACAAGCUUUUUUUUUAUAACUACCAGCGAUCUUGUUUGCAGGACAUACGGCAAAGCAUGUGUGCAGGUACCAGAGGGCCCGGCCCCUCAGGUGGUGCAAAUCUGUGUUUCUGUGCUGCCGGCAGCAGAGGCGCAGUGGUUAAUACCUGCUGAGAUCCUGGCUUGUAAAUGUUUACAGCUUUUCUUAAUUAAAAUAUUCCUGUACACCCAGUUUGCUGGCAGAUUUCAAAGCCCAGCCCUGCAGACACUCAUGCUUAGACGACUUUAUGGGAUUUCAAGCGACUAUGCCACAGUGUAGCUUUAGAUCAUUAGCAUUAAGCAAAAACUAUUUGUAGCACAUAAUAUUGCUGGUAUCUUAUACAAGUGAGUGUUCGCACACGUGCAGCUCUCCUUCCAUUGCUUUCUUCUCAGGGGCUUCAUCUCUAAAACCGUCACUUAACUCUUUAGCCGGGAGGACUCAGCAAUCAACACCUUUGUGAAGGUGUCGCGGUCCCCUGCCUUUUCUCCCAAGCAAAGGGCCCGAGGAGCAGCAGCUGCAAACAAAGCUGAAAGGAAAGGGCUGAAGGUGCAACCUGUAUAGGAAAAGUGGAGGAAGAGGAUGACUGUUAUUUGGAAAUUAGCUCUAGAUGCAGAUUUGCAAGGCAAUCCAGAUUCAAGUCCCGAUUCACCAGGAUCUUCAGCAGGGCGUUUUAGGACUCGCCCUGAACCACUCAAGUCCCUGGGAGUUUUGGUCGAAGCAUAAAGGGGCCGGGAUUGGAGGAGAGGAGGUGACAGUGAAGUCCCGGCCCCGUGCAGAUGGGGUUCCCUGAAUCGUUUGCAUUGCUAACCUGAGCCCCUCCCGUGAUCCAACCCUAAGGAGAGAUUGUGUCAUCUGCUACCUUGCUUUGGUCCUUGAACUCUAACCUCUUUUAUCCCCUCUAAUGACCUGCAGGGCCCUGCUGCUACGAACCUCUUGACUGUCCGGCCUGGAGACUGCACGGACAGUCAGUAGUCACCUGAGAUGAAGAUAGCAGCAGCAGAGGAGGGCACUUCUGAUGGGAGUGUGCACCGGUCACAGGUGUGAAGGUAGCCGGUUUGAGAAUAAAGGCUACGAUGUCCGAGUGAGCGAUACGUGUAGUAACCUUACCCAGGGCUUUCCCGUUCAGAAGCCAGCCACGCUGACUGUGGUGUUGUGAUGCUUCUCUGUAGUCGGGAGAGCUCAAGUGAAUACUUAAUUUUGUUCCCAGGAGAAGGAUUUAAAAAUAUAUUGGUAGUCCUACCAGGCUUGCAGAUCAGGGGGCCCGCCGUAUCCAGAAUCCUGUCUCUGUUGUCAGCCAGUGCCAAAGGCUCGGGAGGAAGGGGCAUAAAACCUCCUCGCAGGCAAUUCUGGAAUGACAACGGGUUCGUUUCCACCUCCAGCUAGUUAGGAGCGAGUUUGCCUCGAGCCCAGGGUGCUUUACAUCCCGUUGUAUGUCUUGCCUUAAGUUGACUCUGGUCACUCUUAUUUCCCAUAUAACUACCUGCUGCUUCUCUGAGUCCUGCUAAACUCUUGGCCGUGGUGACAUCCUGCAGCCAGGAGUUCCACGAGUUCAUUACGUAUAAGGUAUUUAAAAAAAAACAAAAAGCCCCUCUCCAUUUUGAACCAUGUUGCCCUUCAGUGUCAUUCACUACACCUUUGUUCUUGCAUUGUCAAUGGUUACCUUUUCUGUACCGUUCGUUAUUUUUUAUGCCCACCGUGUCCCCUUUUAGACAGUCCCAGGUGUCUCUCCCCAUGUUUAAAACCCAUGCAGGGCUCAACUCAUUUCCAUCGACCUUCUCACAACCUCUCGAUGUACCCUCUCCUUUUUUGAGAUCAGGAACUGCACGGAGUGUGUUGCACGGGUUCAUAAGAUGAUCUCUGGUUUUCCUUUCCAUACACCUCCUCGUGCUUUUCUAGCCCGUCAUAGUAGCAGCGCUUCUCCCUCUGACUAUUUAGUUUCUUUAAAAGCCUGUUGUGAAGGAUUUGGCAAGAGCUUGAAUCACUUGUCAACUCACUUUCCUAGGAUUUUUCUAAUAGACUACAGGUGCCCGAUUUUCCUCUGCAUCCACCCUGUUGGCUUGUCUCUACCGUACGUCCAACGAGGAGUUUUUCUAUUUACUUUGAUCAGUUGACCUGGUUCUGAAGCAAGAUUUAUUGGUCCAGAAUUGCCCCUCACACGUUUCUUCAGGACAAACACACCGGUAAUCCUAAGUGUCAAUAUAGGAGCUCAUUUUAGCAUGAGCUUUUCUUACUAACUCAGCUUAGACCUUUCCUUCUGUCUGAAUUAUUCGUGCUACAGCAGUGCCUUGAACCACUCAAGCAAGCUGGAGUCCCUGAAAGGCGCUUCACCUCCGCGCAGCAAGGGUUUGUCUGCACGGCAAAAGUUGUUCUGCGGUAAGGUGGACGGAAAGCAUAGCACGGUGACUUCCAGGACCGAUGCGUCCACAAGGAGAAUUAUUUCAGGAGAGCCCCAGCAGCACAGUUCUUCUAGGCUGGCCGGACCAGGCAGUUGCAUGUGUAGCUAAGUCUUAAAAAAAGGCAAUCUGUGCUCCAAAAGGUUUGCCAUGUAAAAAGAGAAGGUAGAGAAAAGGUAGGAGAAAGGAAGCACGGCUAUUCCCAUUUCACAGACUGGUAGCUGAGGCACGAGACUUUGCUCCCCCCCAUACAGGAAACCAGAGCUAAGACUUGAACCCAGAGUUUGAGACCUAGCUGAGCAUCUUUGCUACAAGAUGGGUCUUCCUCUGGCUGACCUCGGGGGCUGUUGCUCUCGAGCUGAUGGUUUCAGUGCUUCCUGUUUUGACACCUCCGAUUUCUUGCAGACACUGAAUCGGAGGAAUCCCGGGCUCUGCCGAGUCUUUUGUAAUGAACAAAGACAAAAACCCAAGUGCUUCGUUUAACAGCCCGACCUGGCUUGUAAUGCUGAAGCAAGGAGGAAGGGGCUCUGUUUUCCUUGGCUACACCUGUGGAUGUUAUUACUCAGUGUGAGAGAUACUGGGGUCAAAACAAAGAUAAAGCCAGAGAGCAUUACCUCACCGAGAACUGAGCUACUAGAGUAGAGUAUUUUUAGUGCUGAAAACAGGAAAGGCUUGUGGUGGUCAGAAACGCUUUUUUUUUUUUUUUUUUUUUUUUUGUUCAAGUUGCCAUUUUUAUCGCUUGCUUUUUGAAUCCCAAAGUACACAUUUGUACUUCUUUCUCUCUCUGUUACUUUUCCUAGUCAGAUCAGAAUGAGGGUCUCCAGCCUGACCUGCACAAAAGCAUCCCGCUCCUGGAUCUGAACCUGAAAGAGACCCCUCGGAUCACGUAAUCCAAGAGUCUUCCUAAGAAAAGCCACCGAGCGCACCAGUGAUUCUUGCAUCAACCCCUGCAGUUGGUGCCGGGACCAGAUUGUGUCUUUUAGAAAGAUGCCAGCAUAAAGACCGCUGCAGUCUGUUGCAAUGCCUAAUUACCCUCGCUUUGGGCUGGCUUUCAGGGUUGAAAAAGUGGACUGCUGCCUACCCCAGAGAGAUGCGAGAGGCCACAAAAGAUGGGGUGUGGGAGAGUAACUUGACAAAUAUGAAACCCUUUGGAUGUCAGCAAUAGCCGUUUUCUGUUCAAAUUGGCAAAACGGGACUUGCUGUCAGAAGAGAGCAGAUGACAGGCAGCCCUUUGUGUUUUGGAGGAGUCGGUUUGUACUCGGUUGUGCAGAAGUGCCUGCAAUUGCUUGUGUGCGUGUGUGUAUGUACGUGUGUGUAUGUGUAACUGGACAGUAGCGGUCUCCAGCAAGCCAGUGAAUCAGCCGUCCGGAUUGAACGUGAAAGCCACAGCGACGGGCUUUGCCGCGAACAAAAUCAUCUCUCCCAGAGCUGAGUAUCACUAAGGAGAAGCUCAAAGAGACGAAAUAGUCUAAAGAUGAUGAGAUUUCGGAAAUCAGCCGUUUUACUUCUAACGGAUGGAUCAGACUCUUCUAGUCAUGAACCUCCUUCCACCCAAAAUGUUAGUACGGGUACUCUUCGCUUAACGUCGUCCCGGUUAACGUUGUUUCGUUAUGACGUCGCUGAUCUGUUGGAGAACGUACUCGUUUCAGGUUGCUCAAUGCUCGGUUAUACUGCUGUUUGGCCACCGCCUGCUAGUAGGUAACUACUGUGACGGAAUUGGAUUUGCUUAGCGUCGUUUCGCUUGAAGUCGCAUUUUUCAAGGACGUAACUACGACGUUAAGCGAGGAGUAGCUGUAAUCCUGCUUCUGCAGACAGACUUCUUCGCAAGGAGGGUUUUCUUCAGCUAGAAAGGGAGCGACAUGAAGAAAAUAGCACCAGUGGGACCGCUUCGUUGGUGGAGACGUCCAAGUCUACGCAACAAAAACUGGAUGCCGUCAUGCAGUUAUUCCGGGAAUACGGAGAACCUACAGAAGGACUGAUGCCCUGCAAGCUUGUCGCACGUCUCAUGAUCAGUGACAGGUUUGCUGACUGCUUGUGAAUGCCGGGCCAGCCCGUUGUAAGGAUUUGCUCUUAAAUAAGAAUAAAAGAAAAUUUCAGCUUUCAGUCUUUGUGACAGAUUUCAAGUAGAGACUGUGAAGUGAAGUGAGACGGGUUUUUCUGUGCCACUUCCACUGAUUGUGUUUGCUUCUGUUGCAAGUUAACAACUCCAGAGAUUUUGCUUUAUCCCAGAAUGGUGUUUGGGACUGGAAAAGUGUAUCGAGUAUCCCAGCAAAACAUGGAACUGGCAGAUCAUGUGGACAGCAAUGAAAUGUGAAACGACUUAGAAAUUAGACUGAAACACGAUUGCUUAAUUGAUUUAAAAAAAAAAAAAAAAAAGCUAGUACCAAAUGAAGUCUAUGCUACAGCACUGGCGUGCUGCUUUGGAAAGGCUUUUUCAUUUGACCAGGUUACACAGCAUGGAAAAAAAGGCUUUUUCUCUGCACAGUUCAACACACAAACGCCAUUGUUGCCACAGUGGGAAAUGUUUAGAGUCCGCGGAGAUGCAGCCCGGUGAUGGAAGGACCGCUGAGAUAAAUUCUCUCUAGGAAAAUUCAUGGUUGGGCAAAAAUGUUCAAAAAUGAAGUUAUCUUAGUUCUUGGGAACAUGAUCCAGAAGUAAAUCGCUCCCUUGAAAUCCACGGGGUGUUAUAUGUGACUGUGGCUAGACACCGGCAAACCACAAACCGGUGACAAAAGUCUGAUACCGGUUGUAGAGAAGCAGCGAGCGAUGCUUGAGAAGGCAGCAGUCAAGGGACAUGUUGCUGGAUUUGGGAAUACAAUAUCCAACUGGUGCUAGAAAGAUGGGACCUGCCCUACAACAGGUAAAAUGGCAUUUCGUUGAUGUGAGAGGCCAAGCCGAGGACAGUGGGACACGUGUGAAGGUAAGUACGGAGCAGUUGAGAAGAGACUCGAGGACCUUAACAAGCAGUGUGAUUUGCCCAAGGCAGGGCACGUCAUUUGAAGCUCAGACUCAGUCAUGCCAUGAUUCGUGUUGCCGAACCACACUGAGAAAUACCACGGGUUUCAAGUGUUUCCUCAUCACAGCGCUGGGACAUAAUGCAUCAGCACAUGAGCUCCCAAAAGUCUGAAAGGAAAUGAGACGGGAAAGCCAAAUUGUUCCAGCCUGCCUAUUUCAGUACCGCAUUUCCAAAAUUGGCUGUGCUUUUUGUUUCAAUUGUCAAGGAUUCAUGUAUAUAAAGGGGAGCAAACUGCAAGUAAUACAAAGUGCUGGGUCUGAACAUUUGCAGCUCUCAGUUCCCGGGAGCAUGGUACUUUGGCAUGAGAUAUAUUUUAAUUGAAGUCACCGGGGCAAGUAAAAUGCUUCAAAAAGUUGAAAUGGCCGUUGGACAGCAACACAUCCAGUAAGAGCCUUGGAGAAUUGCUUUGCAAACUUCUUCCAGUAAGGGAUUCACAUGAUUCCUGCUGGAAGCUAAGGAACUGGCUGAGGAGCUGGAAAUCGAAGCUCGCAAGAAAAGCGCCACAGAGCGCGAACCAAAAAAAGGAAUAUUUGAUUCCAAAGUCAAAGUAAAAUUUAACUAAUCCAGAAAAUCAUUUUUUCUAUUACAGUUUGAAACCUGCCAUGCAGCCACUUGACAAAAGACUUUCAAAAGCAAAACCUGAGUUUGUUGGAAGGGCGGGAGGUUGUACCGUUGUAUCCGAAACAUCAAAGAUGUCCUGCACAGCAGUGCCUUAUUCUGGGGAAAGCAUCAGGAGAUGGACAGCCUAGCGAAGAGACAUCCUUGGACAUAAAUGCCCUGGAUCUUUUGUAGGGAACGUCAAGCUCCUUGCCAAGCAGCCGAAACCUGGAGCAUACCCAAAAAACACAGUUGGAGAUUUCUGUGUGAGAAAAUAAGCUUUUGUCCUUGUUUCUAAAUGUAUCUAUCCUACUCUGGAGUCUAUUAACCUUGCCUGUAUCUGCUGCAAGCGGAGAAUGCAGUCUUUCAAAAUUUGUCCAGCAUGGCUCUGUCUUAGCUGUUGUUUCUUGCUUGACUUUUAAUUGGAAAGCCAAAUUGCAGAGAGUAUUGAUCCGAAUGGUGCGAUCCAUUAGUUGGUAUAUUAAAGCAGGAAAGGCAGAUGCCAGCUACUAGCGUGUAGGAAAGAGGUUGGUUGGGGAUGUUUGAUUUUUAAAAUUUAUUUUAUUUUAUUUUUUUUACAUUCACUUCAUUUUAUACUUGCAUCAUCGAGCACGAUUCUCUGAGUCACAAGAGUAAUGGGACAGCAGGAAAGAAGUACCCCUGCCUGGCUUAAAACACCCCCACCCAAAGGGCUGCAUGCCCUUCCCUCGGUCUCGGGUACCUGACGCUGAGUGAGGAGCUUACUGCUAAAGAGGAGUCCUAGCCCUGUACUCUCCCCUGCAUUUAAGGACCUACAUCAGCCCAUUCCCAUGGGCUCCGGCCCCUUUGGGCUCACAAGGGCUAGUGGUCAAAGCACUCGCUCAGCCUGCAUACCCUCCUCUGUCCCAGGGAGCACCCUAACCAACCCCUGGGUCAAAGGAGCAGGCAUGGGAGCAGUUUGACCUCCAGACUGGGGUCAGGGGCAGGGGUCAGGGUAGGGACUGAGAUGCAGAAAAACCACCUCCGUGAUGGCCGUAGGGAAAGGAUGGAUUAGGGAAGACUGGACUGCAGUGGGAUGCUCUGGCCCUGUGGGGUAGGACUGAGGGCUACGUGGGCAGAAGGCCGGGAACAGAAGGUGCACAAGCAAGUGAGAGUGAGUUAGGAGGGUGUCAGACCUGGGGGCUGAAGCUGUGACAUGUAAUGGAAACUUGCACAUCCACUGGAUAAAAACCACGCUGUAACCCUGAGCAGAGGGCCUAGCACGGGUGGCCACCCCAUCCCGCAGCAGGGCCACGGCAGUAGGGUCCUGUGCUGUCUGCUCCCCUCUGGCCCUGGCAUUCCUGGCUGCAGCAGCCCAGCUCCACGAGUCCUGGGGCCAAAGAAAGUGUGGCCAAGUGGGAGCGAGCUCUGGAGCCAGGACAGCCUGCUAGGGAGAAGGGACAGAGCUGGGGGCUCCAGGGGCUUUCCUGCCAUGUGCAUUUUACACGAGAUAAUCCUUGGAUGACAGAUGAGCUGGAGGAGGGAGCCGGCUCAUGGAUGGUCUCCCCAGCCUGGGACGGGCCUAUUUCAAACCACUUUGGUGUCCUGAGACUCGUGAACAGGAGGAGACAAACCCCUGGGCACAGAAAGUAUCAGCGAACAGCCGGCCUCCGUCUUGGUACAGGGAUCCCAGGUUCAAGACCUUGCUUGAGCUCACAGCCCAGCUUCACUUCUGUCUCGGCAUAAAGGUAUGGGGCUUGCUUUAAUAUUCCCAGGGCACAUGUUAGCGUGCACCGAUGUCACAGCAUGCCAGCCUUGUACGCCCUUGUGAGGGUGCAUGAGAUCUGUGAUCCCCCACCGCAGCCUCUGCUGUGUCUGUUGAGAAGCCCUGACCUCCACAAAUGAGUAGACAGCCCUGGCAGAAGUCUGCUGCAGAGCACCCUUCCUUGCGCUGCUUCUCAUGGACGCAUCUGCUCCUGGCUGCGGAGGGGUGGGAAUGGACUGGAGAGCAGAGCAGGGUGUGUGCCGCACAUCCCUCCAGGGCUGCAAAACCCUGCUGGAUCAGGACGCUCUGCGCGCUCGGGCAGGUGUGUCGGGAACACGCAGCACUCAAUGAUGCAACCUGCUGGGAUGUCAGACCCCCCCCGCCCCCCAUAGAAAUACACCUGGAACAACAAGGUGUCUCAUCAGUAGAAGAAACCCUUCCCCCACCCCAAAAAAGUGCUGUGUAGCAACCCGCGAUCCGCAACGCGCAGCUGGAAGCAGCUACAAGGCUACCCCGUCCCCAAAGUGUUGGAAGCCGUCUGAGUGUGAAUAAGACUCAGGCUCCAGCUCUCAUGCAACUGAGGUUGUUGAGGAUCUGCUCCCUCCCCGCUGUAAGCAACACGCAUCAGUAUUUCUCACACUUCUCCAUCCUAAUACAAGCAAGUGCUCCACCAGUGUAGCACUGAGCUUGCACAGAUGUCCUCCCUUCUGGUGGCGAUGAUGGAGCCCACCUGUUCUCAGUAACAGCCUGUAGCAAUCGCAGUGCUGCGGGAGUUUGCUCACAGUUAAAUAUUUGCAUCUUAGGCCUUUUAUCUUCCGGCCGACUUCAACAUUGCAGCCCCUGGCUCUUGUCACGCCGGUGUCUGCUGUAGGAAAGGGCACCUAGUCAGGUGUCUGCGCCCUGUGCAAGCAAUUACAGACCGAGCGAGUCACUUGGCAUAGGCGGGGAACGCAGCCAGGGCAGACUAAAGACUACCCUGGCCCUCCUCACUCAGACAGUCGUGCCAGCAGCAUAAGUCACGUGGCUCCCCUGCCUGUCUCUGCAAGCCCUUGCUCUGUGGCAAGGAAAGGCAAUCUGGAUUCAUGGCAAACCUGCCUGAGUGAUGAGCUGGCAGCACUUAGCAGGGCUGGGCUCCCUGCUUGGCCAUCUUGUGUGGAAAGGACUCUGGAGCCCUUUUCAAGGAUCCUGGCCUAAGUAAUUAAGUAAUCUGCACUCUGGGAAAGCUCCAUUGUUCAGUGCCCUACUUAAAGCACCUCAUGUCCUGAGGCAUGCUGGCCCUUCCUGAAAAAAAAUCAAGCCUUUUUAGAAGGUUUCAUGCCAAAUCCAGUGGCUGCUCCCAUUUGAAAAUGUUGGCAAGUGGAGCUGGGCUGGACGUGGCGUGCUCUCGGGGUGAGUCUGACUACAGGGCUUCACCCCCACCUCACCUGCUCCAAGCAGCAGGGCAAAAGAUGGCAUCUUGUUUCUCCAUUAUAAACAGAGCAGCUUUCACGUAGAACAAAACCCCCAAACACUCUUCUCCCCUUAGGAACCGCAUGAGAGCAAACAAGCCCGGGGUAGUACUCAUGUGUCUUUGAGCACACCUGGAAAGCACUCAGCUAGUGCCAAUCAUUGCAUAAGCCAGGAGCAAACAGGCCACAACUAGACUAGCCUGCCCACGGGAACAAAGCUUGCAUGGGGAGAUGCCUACUGAAAGAGCAGCAAGAACGCACUUCCAGCCUAAGCCCCCCUCAGCAUGCGCUUCGAGUGCGCUGGUGCCAUCUCCGUGCUGGCGGGGCACUUUCCAGCCUGCUCUGUGAUGGUCCCAGCUGCUGUCAGUACCCCAAUUCCUCUCCUGGUAUUUGAAUGUGCAUCCAGCAUGCAUGGGAAUGCCUGGGUGCGUCCAAGCAAAGGGGCCUUGUACACGAGCCACGUGAUCUGAAUGAAGCCGGGGGCAGGAAAUGCCCACAUUUUGCAGCCAGAGCUUCAGGUCCUUUCAAUGGCAGUCUUUGGCUGGCUGCAGGACCUCUUGGUAAACUGUUGCUUGAUGGAGGAAAUAUGGCUAUUAAGGAGAACUUAACUUUAUUAACAGUUUAGACACGUCUUCAGUUUGCCCCCAGAAAGAAGUCCCAGGCAUGCAAGUAACCGUCUAGCCCACUGGAGCAGAGCAGACAGCAUUCAAAUACAGAGUGGCAAGGUUUGGGUUCUCACAAGAGUUUGCCACCAAUGGUUGGGGGAAAAAAAGCAGCCAUUUUUUAACAGACAGACGUUUAGGCCUGGAGCUUCGAGCACAAUGAGUGACUCUGGGGGUGCUUCUAUUCUGGGAUGCCCUAUUCGACCUGGUUUUCAAAUGGCUCAGCCUCAGCACUUUCUCAAAAACGAGGUCCUGCUUCUCUAAGUUGGCAACCGCAAGUCCCUGUUGAAAAAACUGUGGUUAAUGUUGCUUUCCUCAAAGAAAUCCCAUGCUGCUUCCAUUGCUGCUGCCCACGUUUUCCCCGUCUGAAGAGUAGACCGAAAUAAAUUCCAGGUGAGGUCGCUGUCACGGAGGCUGAUAGCUGCUUUUACCAAAAGCAAACUAUGCCAUGUGUCCUGAAUAUUCAAAAUAAAAGACAGGAGAUGGCAUUGCAGGGUAUGCAGUGCAACCCAUGGCAGUGAAUCACAGCCAAGAUUGUGGCCAUAAAUUGGCCUCUGAAUGUUUGUCAUUGUGUCCCUCGGCAUGUGAGCUAUGGAGGCUGCAGACGGCCCUCGCAAUGAGACUGCCCGUUUUUCAAACCUGCCCAACCCCUCCUCCUUGCCCGGACUCCCCUGCGCACGCAAGGACGGUCCCUCUGACGGCAGGACAUCGCCAUACGAAGACUGCAUGGAGCGGGAUGCAGGUCUCCAGCAUUGCUGGUUGCAGAGGCAGGUGCUGAUGCUGUUAUUGGCCUGCAGUGGAGAGGAGAUCAGUGGAUUGCACCUGCUUGUGCCACCUCCAUGACUAUCUCUUCUGUGCUGCAGUAGCAAGGGAAUCCAAGCAAGCUGAGGCGUUCAGCAGCGCAGGGAUCAACAGCCAACUCGCAUCUCUGGAAAAAAAAAAAAAAAAGAAAUGUUAUUUCUCUUAAUCUGUUCCUUGAGCUCAGCUUUGUGGUUUUUUAAAGUGAAAAUUAAGGGGAUUUCUCCAUUGUGUUGUCUACAAAACAAGUCCAAUGCACUCAGUUAAAUUUUUGCCUGCAGCAUUACAUGCUUCAAGCAAGGAUUCUGCCUGCCUGCCGGGAUCCCAAGGAGCUGUGCAAACAUUAAAGGGUUAAUCCUUGUAAUUAGGCAAGAAUUAUUUGUGCUCCCUUUCCUCCAGGAAAGGGAACACUGAACCACAGCGCUGAGCAGCCAAAGGACCUGCACUAAGGUUUGGGCCACACGUAACAACGCUGCGUAUCAGUUUUGCCCCUGCAUACAGCAGUUUCCCCCAUCUGUAAAAUGAAGAUAAUGUUGUUGAGGUCCUUUCUGAAAGGAUAAAAGAUGCCACUUAAGAGGUAGGCAUUAUUAGGAGGAGUUUCAGAAGCCCCAAGAGCACUUAACUCCUGUCAAGGAGCAUUAGUUGCCUGAGUGCUUUUGGAAAUGCCCCAGCUGCCCACCCGCAUCACUGGGCAUGAACAGGACUGGGACUAUCUGACCACAGCAGCCUUCUGCUCCAGAAGACCCUCCCUGGGCAAUGGGGCACAUGAUGCUUGGCAGGAUCAAGCCUUUAGCAUACUGACCCUGAGUCUCCUCCCUAGUACAGCUUCCUUGCGGCCCAUGAUGCUGUCCUAUGGCCGCAGGCUGCCAAGGCAGGGGGUAUGAACAAAGAGUGGAAGCAGGUAUUCACCAUGUCCCCGUGCCUUGCUCUGCCCAGUGAAACAGGGCAAUGUAAAUCCAGCAACUCUGACCCAGGGGCUGCCAGCCAUACACUUCCCCAGCAGCACGUCCCCAGUCUUCCUACCUGGGCACCCCCAGCCACAAACACUUUGUGUAGCUUCCUCCCUGCUCUGUCCCAACAAGCAGACGGUGCUCACCAGGCAAUUAGCCCCUUUCCUGCUGGCUCUGACCACGCUGGAUGAAGCCCAAACAGCCUUUCUUAGAACGGGGCUGCCUGGCCCUUGCCGCCUUGGCCAUGAAAGGGCAGAAACUCUCUGAAAUAAUGGUGAUACCGGAUUGAGUUACCCAGCCAAGCUUUUAAUUCAGAUCUGCUAUGGAUGCAUUGAGUCCUGUGGGCCUUGACUGUUGCAGUGCCUCAGUUACCCUGGGUUAAGAGCUACAUUGGUUUUGCUGGGCCGGGGAACGCAGUCCACGCUACUUAUAGUUUCCAUGCAUCACUGGACUAACAGCAAGCAAUUCGAGCAGCAUGAGGGCUCGUGAUAUGUUUGCCCUUCAACAAAAAAACCAACCCACCACAUCUCCCAGCUCUGGCAAAUGUAAUUUCUUUGGCAAACAUCUUGGAUGAACCAAAAUCUAUCUGACCACUUCUUCAGGGAGGACCAGCGCUCACGAGGCACUGAGCAUGUCAUGAACUGCUCCUGGUCCUUGGUGCCCUUCUCUGUUAAUCACUGCCGAAAGACACACGCAGCUCUUUUUACGGUACGGGGCACGCGACUCCCACCCCCAUGGUUUCCCUUGGACGCAACUGAAACAAUUGAAAGUUCCCAUUUCUCAAUAACAACCCGUAAGUACUUGCAAGUGCACAAACUGGAUUCCAGGUUUGCUUCCCGUUUGUCACGGAGCAGCAGCUUUGUGUUGCAAGCAUGACACCAUCUUUGCUGCCAAGAUAAAUAGCGGUACAUAUUGUAACUGGCUAUGGUGACACGAAUACUGAAAUGCACUCAUGCCUACAGGCUGAGGGCCAAAAAGCAUCCAGCACGUUGGCGUGCGGGGAGCCUGUCAGCAUGCGCCGAGGUACUGGUAUCCCAUUUUGCUUUCCGUUUUAUUGUGCAGUUAUCAGAACAUUUCCCAUGCAUGCUGGGAUUAAUGAAGAGAGCGCGGUCCGGCAGCGCGGCAAAUGCAAGGCAAAGGCCGCUGUUGCUGCACACUGUACACUAGCGUCCUUUGACGUCGUGGGGCAGGACACCAGCAGCAGAGGAUGAGGAUGGUGCUCUGAAUCCUGAACUGGAAUGGCUCCAUGUAAACGCAUCCUUCCCCAUGUCUCUGCUAUUCUGCAUUUGCUCCUCUCCAGUUUGUCUAUGCAGCUUCCUAAACCCUACCCCCGCCCCCCCAAUUAUGUAUAAGCGGAUCCUGGUGUGUGGGUGUGCUUAGGAGGAACAUUUGGCCUGCCCAUGGCUAACAUCACAGAUGAAGACAAGUGGGUCGGACAUAGAGGCCUGGACCUUGGCUCUGCUUGGUCCCUUCCCAGCGGCCGGUAUAAUAUAAAAGUACCUCGGAGGUGGUUUAACCAGACAGGGGGAACUAACCCGGGGGUUUGGGCACCUUUGGGCUGGCAGAGUGGUCCCAUGGCCCUCGCCAUCCCCAGCACUAGGAGGUAUAUCAGGGAGAGGUACAGCAGGGUGUUGCACCCUGCAGCUCUGAUGAACUAGUCAAGUGGCCCCUCUAAUUACUCCAGGGGCUGCACUCGGACUCGGAGGGGGGGCUCAGAGGCCGUCUUGCUUCUCCCACAUGCUUAGGGAGCAGCAUCUGAACUGGAGGGAGGGUCUCAGCCAGGACGCAGCCUUGUGUUCCUGGGGGGACUCAGCGCUACACCAAGGAUAAUACUUGAGAGGCUGCAACAGGAGCCUAAGCCUCAGGAGAUCCAGGUCCUAGUCUAAGCUCUGCCCCCGAGUCACUGGGGGACAGCUGGUAAAUCACUUCACCCCUCCUAACUUUGGCUUCCCAGCUAUAUAAAAUCUGAAGACGGAGACGAAAUGGAGAUGGCAAGGCUUGCCUAACACAUGGGAGCUCUCCCGUGCACGUGAUCUGGGUUUCUACAGAGCCUAGUAAGAAAUGGCUGCAGGGUGCUGCAGGAGUGCCAGCAAUCGAGCUCGGCAGGGAAGUUUGGCCAAAAACAAAACUUACAGAGGGAGGAAAGGGGGGGGCUGCAAACCCGCUUGUGAAAACGCUCCCCGCUACCCUCCCGGCUCUACCAAGCCGAAGGUUUCAGAGUCAUCAAUUUGCUGUCAAGCCACUACUGUGUUCCUGCAAGUUUUUGCUGCCUGACCAAAUGUCUUUCUCUGCUGCAGGAAGGGAAGCUGCCCGAGAAGCAGAGUAGCACAAAUUAACGAGGAGAGCCUGUUCCUGGCACUCUGCUGACACCACUGAUGUGACCAUUAAAGAUGUCCAUGACAGGCGCUGAGCAAACCGUAAAAAACACUUUGUUUUGUGUUUCGUCGGUAAUGAGAAAAUCAAAAAAGACAAGGGCACAACCGGGAAGGGGGUUUGGAGGUUUCUUAGGGGGCGACAUGCUGCAGAAGUAGGGCAGAAGCUUUCUACUAUGAAAUAGAGGCUGCCAUUAAAAAAAAGUAAGAAGUGCACAUUUGUCAUCAGGUACCAGAGUUACGUCCUAUUCUAAUUACAGUGCAAAAGCUGUGGCUGUGCAUAUGCCAUUGUGCUGUUACAAUGGUGUUGGCAAACAGAAGCAAUUAAGCUGAUAAACUAGCUGACGUGUUUCAUCUCAGACGGGGCCAUAUUUUGUUCAAGAAUUUGUUACCACCGUAAACCGAUACUGCUCAGGCUUUAGGCUCAGCUGGUAUGAGAAGCAUUAGAGAAAUACCGUUUUAAGGGAAGAGGAAAAUGUAUUUCAAAUGGCUCCGCAGCGGAGCACAUUUCAGUGUCGGGAAUGCUAAGCCCACAACAAGAAAACAGCAAAACUUAGCAGUUUGAGCUCACUGCAAUUGCAGAUCUGGUAAUAAUGAGGGAAAUGUCCUAAAUCAUUACAAUCCAGGGUACCGCAAGCCAGAAAACCGACGGAGAAAUGUUUUUAUUUGUUUCACAGCUCCCAAAUUCUGCUGGAGAAUUUUCCAUUCUUCCAGAUGUUUUCUGGCAGACAGAAGGACUUUUGAUUUCAAACGCUGAGCUGUCUGUGGACCCAUCGGACCGUGCUCUGACAUUCGGGAGAAGUGAGGGACAGUGUGCAGCUGAAAAUUGUGGCUGGAAUCCUCCCUCCCAGGGAAAGGCAAUGGAAAAGACCCAAUAAAAGACGCAACGCUGGCAAAACCUGGUUGCUCCCGGGCACAGUUCUGCUCUUCCUACCUAGUGGAAAAGGGAAACAAUGCUGACGACGAUGGGGCACCCCUGGUUAUCACCAGCGGAAAUAAGACUAAAAUCAGGCUGAAGGCAGCUUGGCUUGUUUGUGCACUGAAUAACAAAAGCCUCUCUCAUUUACACUGGCCUUUUAUUUGAAACAGUGAUUCUCAAGCAGGGUGCCGUGGGCUCCUAUUAAGGGUGACACACACUGCCGGGCAGAAUUUGCACGCGUCGGUGUGCAAACUGCCACACGGGAUGCACAAGAUAAACCCGAUUUCAAAUGGGACUCCACGGUGUCAAAAAUGUUCUGCCCUGCUGUGGUUUUGCUGAGGUCUUUGCAACAGAAGACUUGCUCAAUUAUUUUUCUGCAAAAACAGUGAAAACGAAGAGGUGGUGUUUUACAAGGAGGGCCUUGAGUCUUUAACAAAUUUGAGAAGCACUAAUUUAGCAGAACCCCAGACCUAAUUUUCCAUUGUCCUGCUGAGUUGUUUUAACUGUGAUUUUAGAUGCCCAUAGCCCAUUACAUUCCAGGUCACUCUUUGAAAAAUCCCAGGGCUUCAUUAAUAUCAGGCUAAGAAGGGGAUUCAUAACUACCAGCACACUGAGGAGGCAGCCUGCUCUAAUAAGAUGAGCCAGCUUUAUGGGGAGAGGCUGACAGAGACCUGCAUCAAGAUACAGAACGAGCAGAAAAUCCAGGGUCUUGAAUGCACAGAAAACAGCCUUAAGCACGGAGGCAGUGAUCUCCAAACUCAUGGGCCCAAUUCUGUCUGUUGCCACCAAAGUGGAGUAAAGGGGCUUUGGUCACAAGGUCUGGUUCAUCUCUCGCUUGCACCAAUAUUAGACUUUGCUCUCCGUGGAGGUGCUCCCUGAUUUAUGCCGGUGUAACUAGAGCAGAUCAAGCCCAUGGGCUUCAGCAGGAGCAGGACUGUGCCUAAGAAACAGAGGCAGCGAUCACAGGCCACAUCAGAAAUUGAAAACUUAAGGGGAGCCUGGAUCUGUCUUGAAUUCUGAGCAUGUUCGCUGAAUAUUAAUGAUGCAUUAGUUAUAGCAGGGUAAGUGCUUCUGGAGUCUUGGCUGACUUUGGCAAGGGGCACUUUGAGAAGGAUAAAACAGUAUUUUCAUUGCUGAGAGUUUUCCACCAGUGGUAAGAGGUGCCCUCUGGGACAUGCAACGGACUCGGGAUUGUCCUCGAAGAACUGCCGGGCUCAGGUCUCACGCUGCUGAACUGUGAACCGAAACACCCACCCCUGCUACACCAGCCGGGAGCCAGACGCUGCGCGUGCGGCAGCAGCCCAAGUGGAUCUGAUUCUCUCACGGAGGUAGGGGGAAGCAGCCUUCUGGAAAUUUUGUGCAUAUAAAAUACCAAAAAAAGGGAAAACAGAGGCAUUGUAUCAACCCUGGACACAUUGAGAAUUCAGUCACGUUUGUUCAGAAACUUGCAGCUUCCUUGCAAUACCAAUAAUGAUUAUUUAUAGCCCUCUCCGCGAGGAAAUUAGUCAAGAAAAAAUGAAUGAUUAUAAUGUAAUACAGUCACCACUAGGGAGAAGUCUGGCUCAAGGAGCAGACAGCUAAAAUACCACAAUAUUUUUCUAUCUAGAACUAUAAGGGUUAGUGUAACUAGCAUUUGUGUAUUUUAUAUAUAAGUCCCAGUUCUUUUAUGACUAAUGCCCAUUUAACAGCAGCUGAACUUCCCUGGAGUUUCUCCUGGCUUACACCCACGUGAGAUGAGGUCCCAGACAAUAUUCUGUUUAUAUUUCGAAUUCCAUCGCCAUUUGCUAACAGAGAUCUGCAAUUCGGCAGCAGGAGGGGUUGGAGAUAAGGGAGCUCUAGAUGGCACACUGGUUGUGACUCUUAUUUCUAUUGCAGCAGCACUGAAGAGGAGCUAGGCUCUGCACAACCCCAUGGUGAGAGACGGUCAUGCCCCGAAGAGAGCUCAUGACCAAACUAGGCAAAGAGCUGGAGGGAAAAGAGAGACAAAGAAGGGAGAAGGAAGUGGUGCAAAGUCACAGAGCAGAGGCAGGAAUAGAGCCAUGGCCUCCCAAUGCCUGGCCCUCAGUCCACUACUCCAUGCUGCCCUCCCCGCCCCUUCUUUGCCAGAUGGCUGUAAAGUGUAGAUGUCGCACGCCCUCAACUGAAACCCCAGCCCAGGCUGAGAACACCUCGUGUAGAUACAAGUGCUUAUUGUGCGCACGGAUGGGCAUUUCGUACCUGUCUCCAUGACCAUUCCCAACCCUACCAUUGACUGACUGGUCCCUUCUGAAACCAGCCUCUGUGCUCCAGGAUCCCUCUGCCUUGCAGCUGACCUUGUCUGAUGCUGACACUUUGAUGGCGCAGCCACGUCAUAACUCAUAACACUUCCCAUUCUCAUGCGCCACAAACAUUUAUAGACCCGUGUCUGGAGGAGACACCAGCCUUUAGAUACGCCGAGGGUCCUGUCGUAGUGCAGCUAGUCGUACGCUGUUCGGUGCUGAAAUACAAUUCCACCAUUAAUUUACACACAAAGAAGUGCUUUAGUCAUUGUAAUGAUAAUGUAAUGGAGAGCAGUCCAUUAACGAGGAUCGGUUGUCUGCAUUAGGCAAAUUAUUUUCCUUUCAAGUUUCCAUCAGUAUUAAGAUAUAUUCAUUAUCUCUGUUUUAUUCCCUCCCCACCUCCGCCCCACAUCCCUUCUUUAUCUGAUUUUGGUGCAUUAAAGGUACCAGUUGGGGAAACUGGGCCAACAAUACUCUCUCUUCCACGGAGGUAACCUCAACGAGACGACUGGAGUUUUACAGGGUAAUGGGAGGGGAGAAUUGGACUGACUGUAGUUAUAUGUUCCCUACAGAGUCACACUGUACUAGUCUGCAGCUAACACAAAGGCUCAAGAUUAAAUGCAGUGUGUUUUCAAGUGGUGAAACACCCUAGCAGCAGUUGAAAGUGAAGUGGAAUUCAUAAAUGCCUUUUUCAUCUUUAUCAAAUUGCUAUGAGGCGCAGUUAUGUUCAUUAAUGAUGUCCUUUAAACCACAUUGUGAAAUUCCAUUAACAAUAAAUGCUUUAAAAAUGUA